GACGAACGCUGGCGGCGUGCCUAAUACAUGCAAGUCGACCUUAGUGGCGGACGGGUGAGUAACACGUGGGUAACCUACCUUUCACAGGGGAAUAACACUGGGCAACCAGUGCUAAUACCGCAUAUGAAAGCUGGCCUCGCGCCUGAUUAGCUAGUGGGUGAGGUAACGGCUCACCAAGGCCACGAUGCAUAGCCGGCCUGAGAGGGUGAUCGGCCACACUGGGACUGAGACACGGCCCAGACUCCUACGGGAGGCAGCAGUAGGGAAUCUUCGGCAAUGGACGAAAGUCUGACCGAGCAACGCCGCGUGAGUGAAGAAGGUUUUCGGAUCGUAAAACUCUGUUGUUAGAGAAGCGGUAUCUAACCAGAAAGCCACGGCUAACUACGUGCCAGCAGCCGCGGUAAUAC
rnacentral:rRNA from 1 species